rnacentral:rRNA from 1 species
GGUGGUGCAUGGUUGUCGGUCAGCUCGUGUCGUGAGAUGUUGGGUUAAGUCCCGCAACGAGCGCAACCCUCGACCUUAGUUGCCAGCAUUCAGUUGGGCACUCUAAGGUGACUGCCGGCUAAAAGUCGGAGGAAGGUGGGGAUGACGUCAAAUCAUCAUGCCCCUUAUGACCUGGGCUACACACGUGCUACAAUGGGCGGUACAAAGGGUCGCGAACCCGCGAGGGGGAGCCAAUCCCAAAAAAGCCGCUCUCAGUUCGGAUUGCAGGCUGCAGCUCGCCUGCAUGAAGCCGGAAUCGCUAGUAAUCGCGGAUCAGCAUGCCGCGGUGAAUACGUUCCCGGGCCUU